UAUUGUUAAAAAUAUAAACAGCAUCUUUGAUAAUUCUUUUCACGAAUGGCUUACUAAAAGUAUCUAAACAAAUUCUCUUAACGCACGAAUUAUCACAACCCACUUGGGCAACUUUAAAGAAGCUUAUAAAUAGCCUCAAGGAGCGUUUGGGUAAAGUUAAAAGAAGUAACACCCACGCAGUAUGCACGUUCCUUGGUCCUAGGUUUAAAGAUAUUACAUUCGAGCAAAGCGAUGCCAAAGAAAAAGUCUGCCAAAACGUAUAACGCCAGUUGAGUGGAAUGAUUUCAACAUCAAGCGAUGAAAGUAUUAUUGCUCCUACAGAGGACGGCAAUACAAACUCUAUGACAGUUUAUCCAUAUGGUUUAAAAUAUACCAAGUUAAAAGAUCGACCAGAAAACGUAAUGUAACUAGCGAAUUCUAGAGCUUUAAUGGAAAUUCAAAGAAGAGUCAAUGCGGCCACGAAAUGAUGAUCCUCUUAAAUGGUGGGGUAUGCAAAGGUACAAGUAUCCUUACUUGACUAGGAUUGUUUUCAAAAGCAAGUAUUCUAUUAAAUGAUAGGCGAAAGCGCCUGGAAGAGAACAAGCUUGAGAAACUACUGUUUCUUGCUGUUAAUCACGAGUACACGAAAUAAAUAUGUUCUCAUAAAAAAAUAUUGUCUUGUUAUUUUUAAUAAUAAUGUUAAACAUGAUAAAUAUGAUGAUGCAGAUUUUAUAGAAAACAUGGACCGAAGUUCUAAAAUUGUCAGUCUGCGUAAUACCUUUGCGUGUUACAAAACUUUAUACUUAGAAAAGCAAUCUAAUCUUGUUCAGGGUAACAAUGCACUCAUUUCUAACAAAAGACGGUUCUAUCAUUUUACAAAUUUUUUGUUUACAUAUUUAAAUAAAGUAUGUUUUGUUAAUGUGUU